CUUCUUUUAUAUGGGAAUAAAGUGGUCCACGUGUGGAUUUUUGUAUGUACCAUAUGAAUAAGGAUCGGCUAACUCCGUGCCAGCAGCCGCGGUAAUACGGAGGAUCCGAGCGUUAUCCGGAUUUAUUGGGUUUAAAGGGAGCGUAGGCGGAUUGUUAAGUCAGUUGUGAAAGUUUGCGGCUCAACCGUAAAAUUGCAGUUGAUACUGGCAGUCUUGAGUGCAGUAGAGGUGGGCGGAAUUCGUGGUGUAGCGGUGAAAUGCUUAGAUAUCACGAAGAACUCCGAUUGCGAAGGCAGCUCACUGGAGUGUAACUGACGCUGAUGCUCGAAAGUGUGGGUAUCAAACAGGAUUAGAUACCCUGGUAGUCCACACAGUAAACGAUGAAUACUCGCUGUUUGCGAUAUACAGUAAGCGGCC
rnacentral:rRNA from 1 species